UUACAGGGGAAUAGCCCAGAGAAAUUUGGAUUAAUGCCCCAUAGUAUGUAUGAAUCGCAUGGUUUAUACAUUAAAGUUCCAACGGUAAAAGAUGAGCAUGCGUCCCAUUAGUUAGUUGGUAAGGUAACGGCUUACCAAGACGAUGAUGGGUAGGGGUCCUGAGAGGGAGAUCCCCCACACUGGUACUGAGACACGGACCAGACUCCUACGGGAGGCAGCAGUGAGGAAUAUUGGACAAUGGGCGCAAGCCUGAUCCAGCCAUGCCGCGUGCAGGAAGAAGCAUCUAUGGUGUGUAAACUGCUUUUGUACAGGAAGAAACACUCCCUCGUGAGGGAGCUUGACGGUACUGUAAGAAUAAGGAUCGGCUAACUCCGUGCCAGCAGCCGCGGUAAUACGGAGGAUCCAAGCGUUAUCCGGAAUCAUUGGGUUUAAAGGGUCCGUAGGCGGUUUGAUAAGUCAGUGGUGAAAGCCCAUCGCUCAACGAUGGAACGGCCAUUGAUACUGUCAGACUUGAAUUACUAGGAAGUAACUAGAAUAUGUAGUGUAGCGGUGAAAUGCUUAGAUAUUACAUGGAAUACCAAUUGCGAAGGCAGGUUACUACUAGUGGAUUGACGCUGAUGGACGAAAGCGUGGGGAGCGAACAGGAUUAGAUACCCUGGUAGUCCACGCCGUAAACGAUGGAUACUAGCUGUUGGGCGCAAGUUCAGUGGCUAAGCGA
rnacentral:rRNA from 1 species